ACCAACAACGGUUAUGUUUGGUA
rnacentral:siRNA from 1 species